rnacentral:lncRNA from 1 species
AAAGUCAUAACUUUAACGAAGAAGUAUUCUUUUCAUUUCCAAAAUUAAUAUAUCAAAUAUGUUGGAAGUAUGCCCACAAAGCCACUCAUUUGAUGUAAUAGCUUUUUGGAAUACUUAAUGUAUUAAACUUUUAUAUGUUUAAUGAAGGGCAAAGCUUAUCGUUGAUCACUAUUUAUUGUAUCAUAUGUUUAAGUAAUAAGGGAAUCCAAGGGAUGUAUUUGAUCUAAGAGACAAGUGAUCUAAGUGAGUUAGAUUAUCGAGACCAUUCUCUUAUGUUCAUUCCUAAAACGUUCCUAGCCAUAGGAUUGCCAAUUGGGUAUUGACAAUCCGCUAAGGUUAGUAUGUGUUAUGUCGACUCAAGCUUGAGUAUGACUAGUCUCAAGUCAUUUGGUGUUGCACAAUAAGACAAACACAUAGGUGCUCGAAAGAGUAAUCGAGUACACUGAACAACGAUUGAAAGAGAGUUCGAACAUACAUGUCAUGUAAGAACUCGAAAGUUGCAAUAUGCAAAGUAGUCCUUUGACCUGAGGCAUCAUAGAUGUCUAAUGGUUAGGUCCUUGAUCUUUGAUCAUGUCAACGGCAUUCCAUUGGAGUGUCCACGGCACAAGCUAUCUAGUCAUGUAGGCAUAUGAAUGCACUGUUGGAAAUGUGCCCUAAAACCAAUCAUAUGAUGAUACUUUACGGACAUUUCAAAUGUUAAACUAAUCUAG